rnacentral:rRNA from 1 species
CAGCACCUCAAGUGGUCAGGAUGAUUAUUGGGCCUAAAGCAUCCGUAGCCGGCGCUGUAAGUUUUCGGUUAAAUCUGUACGCUCAACGUACAGGCUGCCGGGAAUACUGCAGCGCUAGGGAGUGGGAGAGGUAGACGGUACUCGGUAGGAAGGGGUAAAAUCCUUUGAUCUAUUGAUGACCACCUGUGGCGAAGGCGGUCUACCAGAACACGUCCGACGGUGAGGGAUGAAAGCUGGGGGAGCAAACCGGAUUAGAUACCCGAGUAGCC